rnacentral:rRNA from 1 species
UGCUUGGUGGCAGUGCACCCAACAAGUAAGUUUAAACUUGUUUUUAUGUUGUUGUUAUUACCUUUUGUAUCAUGAUUUGGGGAGUAGAGUGUGCCAUCGUAUUUUUAGAAAAUUAGCGAUUUACCCGACGUGUACGGCCUGUGAAAGGCURUCUAAAUGUCGGGUAGAAGUGAUAAAUAAAGCGAGCUAAUUUAUAACUAGUGCGGGUUUUUUAAAUAAGUAAACCCACGCUGCUUAGAGGUUGUUUGGGUGUUUAUAAGCUGGCUUUGUUUAUAUAGGAGUUGGGUUUAGAGGUAUCCGCAGUUACAAAGUGUUACAACUUUUUUAAAAGGUUUGUCUUUCUAAAGUUAGCCCGCUACAAAUUAAAUGUCUUUAAGUAUCCUAGAAUUAGUAGAUUAAUAGGUUAAAACUAUUUUGGUUGGGCUCGGGCUGUUUAUUAAAAACAUUUCUGCAAAGAUAGUUUUGCAGUAAAACCUGCUCAGUGUAAUUCAACAGCCGCAGUAUUUUGACUGUGCUAAGGUAGCAUAAUUACUUGUCCCCUAAAUAGGGAAUUGUUUGAAUGGUUCUACUGGGCUUUAUUUGAUUUUUUACCUCGUUGAAUUUAGUGUGUGAGUAAGGAAUCUCACGAAAGCAUAAAAGACGGAAAGACCCCGAGAGCUUAGUGUUUUAUUUGCUUGGGGCGAGAGCUUUUUUUCAAAAGUAUUAAGAACCUACAGCGUAGUUUAGUGGUUAAGUUACCUCGGGGAUAACAGGGUAAGAAGUAAGGAGAGAUCACAUUGAUUUACUUAAGUGCCACCUCGAUGUUGACUUGGGGUAGCCACAAAGAGCAGCAUUUUUGUUGGUAGGCCUGUUCGGCCUUUAAAACCCCUCAUGAGUUGAGUUGAGACCGGUGUAAGCCAGGUCGGUUCCUAUCUAUAGGUUUGUUUUUCUAGUACGAAAGGAUUGAAAAGC